CAGCCGCCACGGGAAUACGUAGGGUGCAAGCGUUAAUCGGAAUUACUGGGCGUAAAGCGUGCGCAGGCGGUUUGUUAAGACAGAUGUGAAAUCCCCGGGCUCAACCUGGGAACUGCAUUUGUGACUGGCAAGCUAGAGUGUGGCAGAGGGGGGUGGAAUUCCGCGUGUAGCAGUGAGAUGCGUAGAUAUGCGGAGGAACACCGAUGGCGAAGGCAGCCCCCUGGGCCAACACUGACGCUUAUGCACGAAAGCGUGGGGAGCAAACAGGAUUAGAUACCCCAGUAGUCCCUGUCUCUUAUAC
rnacentral:rRNA from 1 species